CUUUGUCUCCUUGAGCUUCUGCUUGUCGUUAUCUCAGGUAUCUGUUCAUUUCCUAUUUCCUUCUUUCAAUUCAAAUUUUCUUCGAAUAUGCUUAAUUUGUUUAAACAAUUACUCUGGAGUGAAAUUUCAGUAUUUGUUUUGUUAUGUUUUUGAGUUCAACAAUAAUCUGUUUGAAUGUUGAGAAAUCGCAAGGAAAUUUGAAAUUCGGGAUCAUCGGGCUAAGAGAUUGGAUUUGAGUGUCGUAUUUCUGUGGAGAAGAAGACUUGAGUUUGUUUACAUUUUCGUUAUUUUC
rnacentral:lncRNA from 1 species